rnacentral:sRNA from 14 species
UAAUGGGCCUGAACACGUCCCGUGAGUGUGGGCUUCAAUUAGCAGGCAUCCCGUCAAGCAAUGGUCUGUUGCACAGGACCUAAAAGCCCGUGUAUAGAAAU